rnacentral:rRNA from 1 species
ACAUGCAAGUCGAACGGUGAAAGCGGAGUUGCUCUGCUGGAUCAGUGGCGAACGGGUGAGUAACACGUGAGCAAUCUGCCCUUGACUCUGGGAUAAGCGCUGGAAACGGCGUCUAAUACCGGAUACGAGCUGCGAAGGCAUCUUCAGCAGCUGGAAAGAACUUCGGUCAAGGAUGAGCUCGCGGCCUAUCAGCUUGUUGGUGAGGUAACGGCUCACCAAGGCGUCGACGGGUAGCCGGCCUGAGAGGGUGACCSGCCACACUGGGACUGAGACACGGCCCAGACUYCUACGGGAGGCAGCAGUGGGGAAUAUUGCACAAUGGGCGCAAGCUGAUGCAGCAACGCGCGUGAGGGACGACGGCCUUCGGGUUGUAAACCUCUUUUAGCAGSGCAAGAAGCSAAAGUBMCSGUAC